rnacentral:rRNA from 1 species
CACGUAGGGUGCGAGCGUUGUCCGGAAUUAUUGGGCGUAAAGAGCUCGUAGGCGGUCUGUUGCGUCGGCUGUGAAAACCCGAGGCUCAACCUCGGGCCUGCAGCCGAUACGGGCAGACUAGAGUUCGGCAGGGGAGACUGGAAUUCCUGGUGUAGCGGUGAAAUGCGCAGAUAUCAGGAGGAACACCGGUGGCGAAGGCGGGUCUCUGGGCCGGAUACUG